UACGUAAGUGGCGAGCGUUAUCCGGAAUUACUGGGCGUAAAGCGUGCGUAGGCGGUUUAGUGUGUGGGAAUUGAAAGCCCGGGGCUCAACUCCGGAUCCGGUUCCCAAACUGCUAGACUCGAGAGUAUCAGAGGAGAGCGGAAUUCCCGGUGUAGCGGUAAUAUGCGUAGAUAUCGGGAGGAACACCCGUAGCGAAGGCGGCACUCUGGGCCGGAACUGACGCUGAGGAGCGAAAGCGUGGGGAGCAAACAGG
rnacentral:rRNA from 1 species